UGGGUUGUAGCUCAGUGGUUGAGUGCUUGCCUCGCAUUGCAUGAGGCACUGGGUUCGAUCCUCAGCACCACAU
rfam:Ictidomys tridecemlineatus contig074949, whole genome shotgun sequence.